rnacentral:lncRNA from 1 species
ACUUGCAUAGCUAGCUGGGCAGCUCUUCACUAGUCUCAUGUCUUCAUUGAUCUUCAAUGAGAGAGGGGCAUGGCAUUCUGACUCCUAGCAUUCCAACUGGUCCUGGUCUCUCCCACUGACUUGUGCUGAUUUGGCAGAGGUCUGUUUCUGCUGGAUUGUGUCGAGUUGCUGAUUCAUGUUUGGUGACACUUUUGAACUAGACUGUUGCACCCACCUCGGCCGGCAAGGAAGACACAACAUGGUCGGAUUCUUCUCAACAGCCUUUAUUGCAGAAACACCUCGAUACUGCUACAGGGACCCCAGGAACCCAGGGAGGUUGGUGACACGCCCAGGGAGUCUUAUCCAUCAUUGACUACUUCUCUAUCAUGCCAAGCCACACUUGAGGAGAUUGUCCUGUCUGCAUGCGGCAGGUGCACCAGAAGGCCAGGACGCUGAUUAAUCUAUGGCCCAAUUUUGAUUGCUGCAAGCAAGCCUCAUGGGUGAAGGGGACUCCUUCAGCUCGCUACUGUGCUGGUUCCUCUUCCCUACUGGUGAUGCAUCGUGUGUGGAGUCCGCGAAGCUUUGAUAGACACUCAGGCAUGCUAGAUUCCAGAGACCAUUUCUCUCGAGCAGCCAAAGAAGCGGCUUGAAAGGAGGAAGCAGGAUUGUGGGCUACAGUGGAAAAGCCUCCUGUGACUCAGGUCAAGUUCUGACUCCACUUUCCUCCCAGUUUUCCUUCCUGGGUAUCAACAAUAUCACUGCUAGUAAAUGGCAACAGGUAUUCUCUUGCUGCUGUGUUAGGGGAAAGGGAUAUUACCUGCACCUUUUGUCAAAGGUGGUUGGAUAUUUUGUUAUUAUUUUUUGUUUUCCACCUAAUGAAAGUAAAAUAUUUAGUUAGAAUAGAUUGUUGGUGGUGGUGUUGCUGCUGCUCCUGCUGCUGCUGCUGGGAUUUGGAAUAGCUAGGGAAGAUUCAUACUUUUAAGAAAGUCACAAUUAAUAACCUCACUACUCUCUUUAGACUCAGGUACCAGGCUAACACAUGAGUAUGUCACAACAGCUGGACCCUCUCUCUAAACAUUUGUUCAUGAUUUGAACAGGCUAAUGAGUCACCUAACUACUGUAAGAGGAACACCAAUGGCCAAAGCUUGUCUUUGACAGGGAAAUUUCAAAGAAUGUUUUCAAUUAAUGAUUGUGUGCUUAAAAAAUAUGAUUUUUUUCUGAAUUGUCUUAACUUCUUGAAGGUAUCAUUUUCCUGUUCUCUGAUAGCUUUUCUCUGGUUGGUUGAACUUUAUUAAAUACAUAUAAUAGGAACAUGAUAUGAUACGAUAUGAUGAUAUAAUAUUUUUAGAUACACCCAUAAUCUAGUCUUUCCCAUUUAAAAACAUUUGGGGGUUGAUUUAAGAAAAGCAAGUCUGCAUAUCCUCACUAACUAUUAACGAGGUUACCUCACUCAGCUUAUUCUGAGAGAUUCUCAAACCAUCACCAGGGUAAAGCAGCUCUAGGACAUGAUCUCUGGUACCCAAAAGUUUAUAACUGCUAUGAAAGACAACAGGGAGCAAAUCUACCCACAGCUGUCACAGGAGAGAGGACAGAGGAAACAGAGGAAGUUGUUCAUGUUAAACACAAUCAAUGGCCAGAAUAGCCAGAUUCCUGGCACUGGCAGGAUGUGAGACUGCAAGAUAGAGACAGAAGUUCAGAAGAGAAGAUGGAGUUCCAUAAUCUUUAAUCAAGUCUCUUUCACACGAACUGAAUGACAGAACAAAUCUCUUCUUACUGCUCUGGAGCCCCCGUUGAAUUUGAAAAUUUCCAAAGUUAUUUUGUUGUGUUUUGUUUUAAUUUUGCAGUGCUGGAGUUGGAGCCCAAAGCUUUGCAUCGAUUUGAAAGAAGUGGCUUUAGAACCUGCAUGCACCACACUAUGUCUAGAACGGUGACUGAAGCUUUCUAGAGAUGAAGCCUGAUAAGUCCAAACACGGAAGUCUCACAGAACACACAGUAUACCCAUCAUCUCUGUGAGACACACCCGCAGAUCCUGCCCCAUGUUGGAGUCAAGGGAACUGCUGGAAGCCCUCUCAGCUCCACCUUAGCUCCAUCUCCAUCCUAACUGGGUUCUUCUAUAUUCAGGACCUGUUUUUCUUAAAAAUUACAAGAGAUAUAUGUCUCUCAGCUGC